rnacentral:lncRNA from 1 species
AUUUUUCUUAUUCUCCUCUCUUUCUCUCUCUAGAUCACUCCCUCUCUCUCUAAGCUUUGGAGGAUGGAAGAAUGAAAUGGAAGUGAUGAGGAAAUGGGAAAGAAAGGUUCCCUAUUUAUAGAAAAUGGGGACUGUUAGAUUUGCGCCAAAUGGCAAAAUCUUGUGAGGAGAGAGAAAGUUAAUUAGAAAAGAGUGAUGUGACGUGACACGACGAUGGUGCAUAAAAUGGUGGCACGCUUUCCAAACAACAACGGCACAUCGCCCAAGACAGCAGUGACACAUUGCCUAACCAGCAGCACACAUUGCCCAAGGCGACGCACGACGCCCAAGGGGCCGGCACACACUAUUCGAAGCAGCAGCACGCCUCCCUAGUCGGUCACCCAUUAUAACCUAGCCUGCAGGCGCACUAGCCUAGACUAUCGCACGUAGAGCUAGCCUGCGCAUACAAAAGACCUACAGUUCGCAGGGUGCUAGCACUGGCCCAUGUGUGCAGGCCUAUCGUGCAGGCCUAUAGCACGGAAGGCAUGCACAAGAUGCAUGGUGUCGC